GUGAUAUCUUUUUCUCUCUUACCUCUCAAUGAUGUAAAGCAUCAUGCUUUUUAUCCUCUAAUAAAUAUGAAGGGUUUGCUAUUUAGGAAAGUGAUGACACCAAGGGGCUUUGGGCUAAUGUUAGCUUGCUAUACUACUUGUUUUGUUUGGAUGCUGCUGCCUAUUUAUGCUGUUUUGAUACUGUUUUGCACGCUGUUAUGUUUGCUGGCUUGCUGUUUGCUUUGUUUGGCAACUUGCUGGUUUUGUAUUGUAUAG